UCUGGUUGAUCCUGCCAGUAGUCAUACGCUUGUCUCAAAGAUUAAGCCAUGCAUGUCUAAGUAUAAAGGUAUUUACAAUGAAACUGCGAAUGGCUCAUUCAAACAGUUAUAGUUUAUUUGAUAUUCAAACUUAUAUUUAUAUUAGUUUAAAUGGAUAACCGUAGUAAUUCUAAGCUAAUACAUGCGUUACGGGGAACUUUACGGAACCCCAGUAUUUAUUAGAUUUUAAACCAGCAUUCCGCAAGGUCUACUGAGAUGAUUCAUGAUAACUGAUCGAAUUGCUGGGUCUACCAGCAAUAAAUCAUUCAUGUUUCUGCUUCCCAUCAGCUUGAUGGUAGUGUAUUGGACAACCAUGGCAUUCACGGGCUAUCGGGGGAUUAGGGUUCGAUUCCGGAGAGGGAGCCUGAGAAACGGCUACCACUUCUACGGAAGGCAGCAGGCGCGAAAAUUAUCCAAUCCUGAUUCAGGGAGGUAGUGGAAGAAAUAAUGAACUAGGAUUUAUCCUGGGAUCACAAUGGGCUUGAUUUGCAAACUUUAUUAGCGAGGAACAAUUGGAGGGCAAGUCUGGUGCCAGCAGCCGCGGUAAUUCCAGCUCCAAUAGUGUAUAUUAAUGUUCCUGCAGUUAUUCGAUGCUCGUAGUUGGAUUUCUGGGGGCUGAUUCUGGACGGCGGCUAUGGCCGCCACCGGUUUCUUCCUUCAUCCACCUGUUAACGUUGUUCGAGAUUCAUUUCUCGGCUUCGGGCUCAGGUAUUUUACCCUUACUAUAUUCAUUUAUUUAUCUUCUUUUUGAGCAAAUUAUAGUGUUUCAGGCAGGCGUGCGCCGGAAUACUUUAGCAUGGAAUAAUCGAAUUGGACUGUGUUCCUUAUUUGUUGGUUUGAUGGGCACAGAAUGGUUAAUAGGGAUAGUAAUUUUCAGGGGAGGCAUUAGUAUUUAAUUUCCAGAGGUGAAAUUCUUUGAAAUAUUAAAGACUAACUUAUGCGAAAGCAUUUAUUUUGCCAAUAAUGUUUUCAUUAAUCAUUGAACGAAAGUUAGGGGAUCAAAGACGAUCAGAUACCGUCCUAGUCUUAACCAUAAACGUUGCCGACUAGGGAUCGGAGGGCGUGCACAUUCCGCCUUCGGCACCUUACGAGAAAUCAAAGUCUUUUGGGUUCUGGGGGUAGUAUGGUCGCAAGGCUGAAACUUAAAGGAAUUGACGGGAGGGCACCACCAGGAGUGGAGCUUGCGGCUCAAUUUGACUCAACACGGGAAAUCUUACCAGGUCCAGACAUAGCGAGGAUUGACAGAUUGAUAGCUCUUUCUUGAUUCUAUGGGUAUUUUUGGUGGUGCAUGGCCGUUCUUAGUUGGUGGAGUGAUUUGUCUGGUUAAUUCCGUUAAACGAACGAGACCUCAGCCUGCUAAAUAGUUACUUGUCUUUCUUUUACGAGACAUGUUAAC
rnacentral:rRNA from 1 species